rnacentral:rRNA from 1 species
CUACGGGAGGCUCCAGUGGGGAAUAUUGGGCAAUGGAGGCAACUCUGACCCAGCAAUACCGCGUGGAGGAUGACGGUUUUCGGAUUGUAAACUCCUUUUAACUGAGAAGAUUAUGACGGUAUCAGUUGAAUAAGCACCGGCUAACUCCGUGCCAGCAGCCGCGGUAAUACGGAGGGUGCAAGCAUUACUCGGAAUCACUGGGCGUAAAGAGUGCGUAGGCGGCCUGUUAAGUCUUGUGUGAAAUCUCACGGCUUAACCGUGAAACUGCAUGGGAAACUGGCAGGCUAGAAUAUGGAAGAGGUAGAUGGAAUUCUCGGUGUAGGGGUAAAAUCCGUAGAUAUCGAGAGGAAUACCCAUUGCGAAGGCGAUCUACUGGGACAUUAUUGACGCUGAGGCACGAAAGCGUGGGGAGCAAACAGGAUUAGAUACCCUGGUAGUC